rnacentral:lncRNA from 13 species
GUGUGUGGUAAAGGAUUAUCAGAGAUAACUGUAGUGACUUAAGGGAAUGUGUUUGAUAAGUACUGUAUGUGUGUGUGUCCUUCCCUCCAGAGCUCCUCACACAGUGCGUCCCACCUCAAACCUCCCAGUUCAAACUGAGGACCAGUUUUCUCCAGAAGAGAAGGAGAAACGUUUGUGUCUUAUCACCUGUUCUCCUGUUCACCUGACAGUUGUACUGACAAACCACCAGAAACCUCCUUGACCACAGAUGUUACAUCUUUUGUGGCUAAAAGGGUGGUGAUCACAGACAAUGACGACUCUGUCUUCACUGAGACUCCCUCUGUCCCCAAAGAACCAGCUGCACUAUCUGUGAAAGGCGUCCCUCCUCCAGGGCGUACCAAAGUGGCCACUGAGCUGUCCCCAGAGAGUAGUGUCCUGUUGAAAGUGGUCUCCCCAGUGUCCCCUGUCCCAUACAAACCAGUGAAGACAGAUCCUGCCCCAGUGGACACUCUGACAGCCCUGUCUGACACACUCAUCUCCUUCGACACAGGUUCACCCAGCUCCAGAGUCCCUGACCCAGUAUGGACAGAGACAGCAGAGCCAGAGGACAGGUAGGAAACCACAGAGACACACUUCCUCAUUCACGUCAUAGUGGGUGAUAUGAAACCGGUUACAGUAGGUUACUAAUGACGUGUAUUCAUUAGGGCACACCGUACCAAACCGUAACAAAAUGCUUUGCAAUGAAAACUAGUGUUUAUUGGACACCUUCAGGUUAGUCCUUCCCUGUUUCAGUCGCUUCCGUUUGGUGUCUAGUGAAUACACCCCUGGUGUCAACGGUCAUUCUGUACUUCUACACUGAGUGAACAAAACAUUAGGAACACUUUCCUAAUAACGAGUUGCACCCCCCUCAGAACAGCCUCAAUUCAUUGGGGCUAUGGACUCUACAAGGUGUUGAAAGUGUUCCACAAGGAUGCUGCCCCAUGUUGACUCCAAUGCUUCCCACAGUUGUGUCAAGUUGGCUGGAUGUCUUUUGGGUGGUGAACCAUUCUUGAAUCACGUGUGAAACUGUUAAGUGUGAAAAACCCAGCAGUGUUGCAGUACUCGACACAAACUGGUGGAACCUGGCACUUACUACCAUACUCCGUUCAAAGGCAUUUAAAUAUUGUGUCUUGCCCAUUCGCCCUCUGAAUGGCACAUACAC